rnacentral:snRNA from 1 species
AGCUUUGCGCAGUGGCAGUAUCGUAGCCAAUGAGGUUUAUCCGAGGCGCGAUUAUUGCUAAUUGAAAAAAAAGGUUCUGGGGAACCAGCAAUUAGCGUAAUGGCUAUGUCGCU